rnacentral:rRNA from 1 species
ACUCCUACGGGUGGCAGCAGUGGGGAAUUUUGCGCAAUGGGGGAAACCCUGACGCAGCAACGCCGCGUGAGUGAUGAAGGCCUUCGGGUCGUAAAGCUCUGUCAGAGGGAAAGAAAUGUGGGGCGCUAAUACCGCUACCACUUGACGGUACCCUCAAAGGAAGCACCGGCUAACUCCGUGCCAGCAGCCGCGGUAAUACGGAGGGUGCGAGCGUUGUUCGGAAUUAUUGGGCGUAAAGCGCGUGUAGGCGGUUUCAUAAGUCUGAUGUGAAAGCCCCGGGCUCAACCUGGGAAGUGCAUUGGAUACUGUGAGACUUGAGUACGGGAGAGGGCAGUGGAAUUCCUAGUGUAGGAGUGAAAUCCGUAGAUAUUAGGAGGAACACCGGUGGCGAAGGCGGCUGCCUGGACCGAUACUGACGCUGAGACGCGAAAGCGUGGGGAGCAAACAGGAUUAGAUACCCUGGUAGUCCACGCCGUAAACGAUGAGAACUAGGUGUUGCGGGUA